GGCUCUGAUUUUUCAGCUCCCCACUUAUUCUCUCCACCAGAAUGAGGCCUGCUUGCCAGUUUCAAUACUCCCAGUCUUGUAUCCCAGUGAUUGGGCUCAGUUUCUGUUCUUUCCUACCUUAUUUUUAGACAAAUUCCCCUAGACAGCCUGACUCUGCUAUGAGAUACCCCAUUAUUCUCAUUGCCCACUGAAGAGGGCUCCAUGACCUGCUCCUCCACUCUGGAUGGCUUCAUCUUAUUUUCUAGUCUCCUGGAAUGGAACUUGAAUUCUCUCAUUCUUUUGUGUAUUGUUCCCUAUUUCUCAAGUGCUGUUGAGGUCACGAUUCUGUUUACUCCUGCUCCCCACCCUGCAUGUUUUGGCUGGUCUCACUUUCACUUUUAGGUUGCUAUUAAGUACCAGCCAUGGCAUUUUAUGUUGGCUUUGCUAUGUAAGCUAAUGCUACCAUUAAAUGAAAAGCUAACUUAUUCAUUAAGAUACUCCACAGUAAUUAGCAUUUGGAGCAUGAUUGCUUUGGAGCAUGAUCACAGUGUAAAACUACAUUGUGUCUCUUUGUUUCAGGUCUUGAUUUACAUGAAGACCCUGGUGAAGAGACCAAACUACUCUCCCAGUCUAUCAUUCUAGUGGCACCGGAAAUUGGAUUUGGCUCGGGAAACUUCCAGUCUUAAAUGGUUAAGCAUCCAGAUACAAGGUUAUGGGAUUGCCUCAGUCAGGAGGACCUGCUUAACUCUGCAAUUCCGAGGGUUUCUAGAGGCGCUCCAAAGCCUUUGCCGGAAGGUGGCGACAUCCGCCCUUCUUGCCUAGAGCUGUCCCAGGUGCUGAAGCCGACAUCCGCGCUUGAGGGAAACCGCGGGCCGGCGAUCCGAGAUUCCAAGUUCCCCUAGAGGUUUGCAGGCUCUGGCCAGACAAGCCAAAGGCCAGAUCAAGUGCUCGACCUUGUUUACAGAACCCAGGCAAAAGACUCCCUUCCCUAAGUAUACUCCGCCAUGAAGCUACGAACCGUGGUAAUGUUCAUUGACAUUAAAAACAGGUGAUGGUAACGGAAAGGCGUGUGUUUAUCUAUGUGUGCAGAAUGCAUACGGAAUUGAGUUUUUUCUUCACUCUGAGAUGUAUUUACCUGUCCGUUGAUAUGCCCUUUCCCUCCUAAUUUCCCAAAGCAAAUAAAUAAAUAAAGCCACAGGCAACAUCCUCCCCCAAGAGAAUCAGGCUGGACUGUCAGAGAAUGAACGGGCUGGCAGGCUUCCUUAAAAAAAAAGCUAAAAAAAACCACUUGGUCUUCUUUCCAUCAGUUAACAAUAAUUUACAGACGACCCCGGGCCUGGCUACCUCCCCGUUCAGGCUCCGUGUGGCUCCUUUGC
rnacentral:lncRNA from 1 species